rnacentral:rRNA from 1 species
AUUGAACGCUGGCGGCAUGCCUAACACAUGCAAGUCGAACGAGUGGCGGACGGGUGAGUAAUGUCUGGGAAACUGCCUGAUGGAGGGGGAAAACUACUGGAAACGGUCGCUAAUACCGCAUACCAUCAGAUGUGCCCAUAUGGGAUUGGGUGGUGGGUGGGGUAACGGCUCACCAGGGCGACGAUCCCUAGCUGGUCUGAGAGGAUGACCGCCACACCUGGAACGGAGAACCGGCCCAGACUCCUCCGGGAGGAAGAGGUGGGGAACAUUGCACAAUGGGCGCAAGCCUGCUGCAGAAAGGCCGCGUGUAUGAAGCAGCCUUUCGGGUUGUAAAGUACUUUCAGCGGGGAGGCGUUACCCGAAGAGGAAGCACCGGCUAACUCCGUGCCAGCAGCCGCGGUAAUAC